GGGCCGCGAAAAUCCUAAUUUGGCUGUAUUCGUCCCCACUCUUACAGGUAAAUCCCUAUCCUUUUUUCCUUGAUUUUUAGAUUUAAGUAACAGAGGGAGUCUCAUGCUUUGAUUCUUGAAAUAAUGGGUGGAAACUCACAUGCAUGUAUUUCAAAACCUAAAAUCUAGUAAGGGGAAAUGGGUAGAAGUAAGAGACUGUGCUUGAUCACCUAAAUAAGCCCAGGUAGUAAUUGGAACUUCAAUUCUAAAGUACAUGUGUUAAUUUGUGAAUUAGAUUUACGUGGCUAGAUUGCUUUAUGAGUGAGAGUAGGAGUUUAAAAAGGUAAUUCGACUCUAUUUAUGUAUGGCUAAAUUUUUAUCCUUGGGAAAUCGCCUUGUUUGAUGUACGUAUGCUUGGUAGGUGAUAAGUGCGUAAAUUACUUGUGAAUUUCUUGUGAUUGGCACUUUGUGAUUAUGUUAAGUGGUUAUAGUCGAGGAAUAAAUUACUAAAGGGAAUCGUAACAAAUGCAGUUGGGAAUAACUAUGGUAACAAUAUCUAUGGGCUGUCGAAUAUGAUGAAAAUAAUACUGCUGGUUAUGGGAGCACUUGCUAUAUUGUUUUUGUUACUUAUUGUGAAGCAUUGUUGUUGAUCUUGUGAAUUGUUAUUGUUGUUAUGCUGUUUGUGGAUUGGAACUAUUCGGUGGUAUCGGGUUGCACGCCGCAAAACGAAGUUAUAAGAUGCGGGUUAUGGUGAUAAGGGUGGCCGAGCUAAUAAGCGUGGACGAGAUAAUAAGGGCGGAACAAUACUCGAAAUCACUCUUGAAAUAAAUACUUGGGAAAAUUUGUGAAAUCAUUGGUAUGGAAAUUGUGGAAGGUGGGAAACCUGAAGGGUUGAAACUUGUUUGGCUUGAUUGUACUUUUCAUGCGUAAAUUGGUUAUCGCUUCUAUUGCUGUUUUCAACUUGUGUACGACUUGAGUUUACUUGGGACAAAGUUUUUCCAUAUAUACCAGUACAAUUCAAAUGUACUGACAUCUCUUAUUCCGGUGGUGCUACAUUCAUGUUAUGAUUGUAGGUGGAUCUAUAGCAGGUACUCCAGUCACUGAUCAUAGCUCCUUCUCACUUCCGGUCAGCAUAAUUGGUGAUCCCCUCUCCUUCCGGGGCCCUGCGCGGCUCAUGCCAUUUCCGCUCUUGUAUUUAGAGAUCUUGUUUUGGUGUUUGUAAAAGGCAUAGCCUAGGUCUUGUUUCCAGCAAGUAUUGUAUUAUCUUCUUCCAUCUUUAGAGGCUCCGUAGAUAGGAAAUGUAAGUCGUGAACUAUGUAGUAUGUACUUUGUAUUUUGGGCAUUGUAAAUUAUAAACCACG
rnacentral:lncRNA from 1 species